UGGGGAAUAUUGGACAAUGGGCGCAAGCCUGAUCCAGCCAUGCCGCGUGAGUGAUGAAGGCCCUAGGGUUGUAAAGCUCUUUCACCGGUGAAGAUAAUGACGGUAACCGGAGAAGAAGCCCCGGCUAACUUCGUGCCAGCAGCCGCGGUAAUACGAAGGGGGCUAGCGUUGUUCGGAUUUACUGGGCGUAAAGCGCACGUAGGCGGACUAUUAAGUCAGGGGUGAAAUCCCGGGGCUCAACCCCGGAACUGCCUUUGAUACUGGUAGUCUUGAGUUCGAGAGAGGUGAGUGGAAUUCCGAGUGUAGAGGUGAAAUUCGUAGAUAUUCGGAGGAACACCAGUGGCGAAGGGGGCUCACUGGCUCGAUACUGACGCUGAGGUGCGAAAGCGUGGGGAGCAAACAGG
rnacentral:rRNA from 1 species